GGUGCCACAGCUUAGUAGUAAAGCGCUCGCUUCUCAAACGAGUGGUCGGUGGUUCGAUUUCAACUGGUGCCU
rnacentral:tRNA from 1 species